CGUCGAUGUGUUAGCUCUGGCUCUUGUUAUUAUGUACCCAGCAUAGUCUAGGAUUGCUAAGAGAGUUUUCCAGAUUCACCUGGGCAGGGUGAGCACUGGGAUCUACUAUGCUCUACUUACUCCAAGAAUAGUAAUGUGGGCCGUGGGAAGCAAUGCGCUGGCGUGAGCUGUAUGCCAUGGACGGCUGAGGCACAGGGAGGAGAAGAUGUGAACCAAAAGGCUCUGCCCUGAAUAAAGUCAGGCGCAUCCUUUGAUCCUCUGUGUCCGACUGGUUUCUCUUCUGAGUCUUAGCAAACAACCUGAAAGUGCUUCUGGAGACAACGUCUCUGCCUGCCAAGAUGUCAUCACCUUGCUCUGUGCUCUAGGACUGCCACGGUUCUCUCCAGCCCCUUUAGGCAUUCCUGCUUGAAGAUUAACCCUACAGUCUCAUGCUGGACAACUUAAUUCAGCUGAGGAGAAACAGCAGUACAUGACAGAUAAGAAAAGCCUGUUUUCCUCUUACGCUUCGGAUUUUGGAUCAAUGCUAGAGGCUGCAAAACUAACCCAAGGAAGGAAAAAGCCUUUGAUUAGACAAACUGAGUGGUAAAGAAAAGUAUUGAACGGAAAGCGCUGUCAAUGAGCUACUCAAUGCAACAAUUAGAAGGUGAAACUUUUUCUUUCCCUUUCUAAGCAAGACACACCUCUGCUCUGCUGGAAGGAGGUGGGUGGGAGGAAUUUUUCUUGUUCUGGUGCCCAAUUGUCUCCUGGACCUUUUCCAUUUCAAAGAAGAGGGUGACCUAUAAAACUGUCCCACUUUCACAUCACCCAAUGCAGGCUAGGAAACUAUCUGACAUUUAAAGGGACACUCCUGGUGUUUCCAGUAAGGAGCUUUCUGUGGCAAUAAAUGAAUAAAGAGGUGCAGAAAAAUGAGAUCUGUGCAAAUGUCCCUGGAAUGUUUCUCUUUGAAGAGUCGUUCCAACUCUGCUGGCAAUGUGGAUGGUCGUACAGCUGAAGUUUUGCUCUGACAGGGGAUCCCACUGUUCCAUGAGCAUGACAUGAGAAUAAAACCUGAGGUGGUUGGUUCAAAGUGCCAACGUGGUAAGUUCGUUUAUUUUUUUCCUGUCUUGAUGGCCAGAUUACUAUUAUAAAACAGAAUAUUUUAAAUAAUAACGAAAAUAGUUUCUCUCUCCCCAGAUGAGGUGUUUUCAAGCAUGGGAGUGUCUAAAUCAGGUAUAUGGUCUGAUUUUUGAGUGGUCCUGUGCAGAGCCAGGAGUUGGACUCAGUGACCCUUAUUGGUCUCUUCCAACUUGGGAUAUUCUGUGAUUCUAUGAUGAAUGUGUCGUGGUUCAACAGGUGACUGAGCUACUCCAUGGAAACCAGUGGCCAGAGAAAAGAGAACACAGUUAACACCCCUUUGGCCUGAUGGUCAAAUUAUGUGCUCUGUGAGUCUUUGCAGACUCUUGACUGCCCCAGUCCUGUAGUGCUGAGAACAGUUGUCAGUCUCCUGGACUUCGUCUUGAGCUGUAUGUGCUUCAAGAACAUGGUUUCUCUUUCAGCCUGGACUGUGCCUACUCCAAUCCAGGACAGACCAUGAGCUGCUUUUGCUGUGGUUCUGCAGGGACAAAAGAUUCUGACCUCUUUCGAUGUUAGGUGGAGUUUUUGUUUGCACGUAAGACUUUGGUGGUGGUGUCUGAUCUUCACAUGGGGUUGGAGCUCAGCAGUCGUUUCUGUUCUCAGCUCCACCCAGAAGAACCUCCCCCUGUGUUACUCACUUGAUGGGUGAACUCCCAUCAAGGUGCAAACCCUUAAGAUGAGCUCUCUGAAUUGCUUCAUUAUUUCCCUGUGGAGUCAGCCAGGAAUCCAGCAAGGACACCAACUGCAGUGACACUGAUGCUCAUUCUACAGGGACCCAAGCCAAGAGUGGCUCCUUAUUCCACAGAAGUUGUUGAGCUGCUGCUGAAGGAUAACAAAUAGUGGUCAACAGUGCACUGACCUUCCUCUGAAAUCAUGAUCCCAAGGCAAAGAGCUCCAUUUAUCCAGAGCACACUAGUGCCAAUUGGUUAUUCUGCAUCACCUUCAAUCAAAUCUUGCUAGGAGAGCACCUCCUAGUGAUUUCGCUGUCCUUGGAUGGAUGCAGGCAUGCAGAGAAAACACUUGCCUUCAUCUCACAAGAUGCAAGAUGUGAGCAGAGCAUGGACUGCUGAUGAAUACAUCCUCAAGAUAGAGUGUAUAAGAAGUCCACAUCAUCCUAUUUGACAGGCUGUACAGACUGUCAUGGCUUUGAAAGUACCCUAUGGGAUGAAAGGUUUUCUCCAGAAAAUCUUGGCUGAGAGGUGUUGAAAGGCAGCUGGGUAAUCUACAAUAGCUCUGACAAGUAUCAGCAAGGUGGAUGUGUGCAGGGCUGGUUAGUUCCCCUGGGUCACUCAGGGCUUUGCAAUCCCUGCAGAGUUCUGCAAGAGAGGAUUUUUACUGUGUCUAUGGGGAGAGGGUGCAGAGAGGCCGAAGAAUGGGGGAAAAGAAGUUUAGGAGCAUCACCACUGUCCUCUACUUUACCCCAAUUGAUUUCACCCUUUUCCUUUGGUUCACAACUUUGUCAUUUACCUGCAGGUGUUAAACCUCUCCUCUCCCCUCUGUUGUCACUUCCCUGUUUUGUGGGUAAAAAUCUCUGUUCUGAGGUGCCAGAACAACUCAGCUUGUGUUUACGCAUGGCCACAUGCAGGAUCGAUAUCUGCAGGUGUGUGAACUGUGCAUGCAAGUGGAUGCAGAUGGUCCGUGAUGUGCGUGGAUGGGAGCAUGCACUAAAACAGCAGGGCUCAUCUCCAUGCCCUCUUUUGUAACUCAUUCUUCAGCCAAAACUCCCUGACCUAUACUUGUGACUUAAUGAUAAUCUCCACAAGAGCCUAUUAUGAUUAUAUAAAUAAACCCUUUCAACAUUAUUACACUGCACAGAGGAGAAACAGAAAGUGAUGAACCACAGAGGACUAGGGGGGAAGAAAUAGUUGUGCAAAUAGUCAAAGAUAUCUAACUGAUCAUAAAAGGAGUAAUGAUCCUAAAUUGUAUGCAAACAAAUAGGAUAUUCUUUAAGAUACCUUAUUUGUUAAUAGUAGUAAUCAGGAGGAUGAUCUCCCAGCUAGUCUCUGGAUAGAGUUCUCUUGAAGCAUUUUAUAGCCCAAAUGGUAGUGUUCAGACCUGCAGAUCACACCCAGGCUUAACUUUUCUUACUGGGUGGAUACCAAGAGCUACUCAGAGCUGGUGGUCAAUACAUCUGUUUGCCUGCCUUUUGAAAAGUACUGAUAUGCCAGAAUGCCUUGGCUUUCAAUUAACUGUUUUGGCUCAGUAUUGAAGUGUGACCAGCUUGCAUGGACUGGAUGGUAUAGAAGACUUUUUUCUACAGGCUGUCUUUGAAAUCCAUAGUCUGUUCUCUGGUUGGGGUCCUACAGUGGGGCCUAUCUGUGGGCUUUUUGAAGAUGAGGGCCAUGUAACACCUCAAAGAGUGCUUGGGAGAGGCAGGAGAGAAGUGGACAGCUUCCAUGUGUCCUCUCUCUUCAAAGUGAAGUGAAAUUCUGCAUCCCAGAUGGAGUCUGUUACCAACCCCCCUGGUCCUGGUGCCUUCCAUGUGCUCUUUGUCCAUUGCUCUGGUCUCCAGUGCCUGCCAUGUGAAGCCUCUGUGCCACGGUUUGCUGCGUUGUGGCCAGCAACAGUGAGUGACCAAGGCCAUCAGGUCCUGCUUCCUGCUCCUGCACCCCUACCUGCCACUGAGCUGCUUCUGGAACCUAAGUGGAAUCAAUAUACAACAGCACACAGCUUUAUUAAACACAUCUAUUCUCUCUGGAUGACUGCAGAAGACUUCAUUCUCCCUCCCUGUUUGUAAGACCUGGUGUGGAUUUUUUUCUUCUUUCCUCACCCCACAGUGUGGCGCUCACUGUGGUUCUCCUGAAGUUCCAGACCGAGAUGUAAGGUGUUUGUUUGGUAACAUGGUAUAAUCCUGACUUGAACUGGCCACAGCAGCAGCUCAGCUGCUUGCCCCACACCAGCACCUUUGUCCUCAGCAGCAGGCUUUGUCCCCAGGACCAGUUGGAAAACCAAGACCUGGUGCCUGAAUGCCGUGGUGGAUGCAAACCUGGAGGCAUUAGGUUGCAAGAGGAGUAGCUGAGUGAGAGAGCUGUUCCCUGAGCCAGCCGCAAAGGGCUCAUUAGCCAGCAGCUAUUUAGGCAGUGGCACUGCAGCAACUCUCUGCUGGAAAAAGCUGAUUUGUGGCGGUUUCCUCUCCACGCCGAGUGUGCACUGAUCAGGAAUAUAAAUACCGUUAAUCCCCAGCGUUAAUACCAGCAGCUUUGAUCAUCUUUCCCCAUUAUCACUCCCUUGCUGUUAAUAAAAGUGAUAACCAUGGGGGAGAAGGGAAUGGGGACUGGACUAAUCAGUUUGCAGUUGGCGAUGCUGUUGGGAAAACGAGACACCCAAGGCAACCUGGCCUCAGUGACAGUGCCUCUGGACAUCAAGAGGGAGCUCAGGAACAAAUUUCUGCAAGGGACUUUCUACAAAUUCCCAAGUCCUAUUCCAAGCUGAUGAUGGCUUUGCUUCUCCAGGAUGCAAAGAUGCUGGCCUGUUUGCUCUGGAAGAACUUUCAGCCAAGGCUUUGGCAGUCAAAAUUGACUUUGGAGACUGACUUUGCUUCUUGAACUGUUCUGGACCUGUUUCUUCCCAGCCAUGGAUUGGAUGCACCGUUCGUGUGAUAAACCACAGCAAUCCAACAGCAAUCCCACACUUACACAUCUCCCCUAGAAGGACGGUAAUUCUCAUGGAGCACAGGGGAUGCCUGCGUUCCUGUGUCCGUGAGGAGGCCUGCCUCCAUUCGUCAGUGGAGCUCACCACUUGGGAGUCUGCUUGGAUGAUUAUCUCCAUCUGACAGUGAGUUGCAGUAGAAAGAAGAAUGAACCCUACGGCACCUCCUGUACAGGGAGCAGCUCCUGCGUAGGACGUCUGUGGCUUUGUGAUUCUUGAGAGGCAUCUGUGCAGAUCCGGUCCUUGGUCCUCAGUAACAACACAGGAUCCCAUACAGCAAGGAUGAGGCAAGAGAUGACAGCUCACCACACAAGACCAAUCUGGGUGACAAAGCAGAGUCCUCUCUUUGCUUAUCCCCUGCCUUCCUGUGCAGCAGGACUGCCAGAAAUCACAGCGGUGCAAUACUCGGCAGGAUGACAAGGAACCAGCAGUCCAGAAGAGAAGCAGCCCUGACAAUUCCUCUGUUCCUGCUGCUCAGUGAAAUGGUUGCGUGUGGGAUGCGAUCAGCGCUCUGCAGCUGCUCCUACAUUAGUGUGCAUCGGAGGCACUCGAUGGGUGCCAUUUGACCAUCGCUUCUGCGCAAUACCUUGUAAAAGCAGCAGCUUUUCUGGGAUUACCUCCCCAUUGCAUUGCUUCUCGUGCCUGCAGCUCACCGAUGUGUUUCAGUCUGCGGUCACUGCAAAGCCUGCGUAGCGCAGUGGUGCUUUGGAGACUCUUGUUUGCAAACCAAUCAGUUAAAUUAAGAAGCUUGAUUCUCAGUGCUGUGUGAUGACAUCUCCAAUUUAGCUGGUGCCCCAGUGAGGAAGUAAACAAACAAUAAAAGUGUCACUAUUCCUUCUAGUUCCAUUAGACAAACAAGAAGUUUAUUCAGCGUUUUGGCAAAUGAAAAUUUAAGCAAACUGUCAAGGGAGACAUUUUCCACAUCAAAUGUUUUCUGAGAGGGGAUUAUAACAAGAAAGAGCUAUCACCCACCAUGUCAUUAUAAACAAAGGCUCCUGUGAACCCCUUUUAUUAAAGAUUAGCAGCACUGAUUACAGACAUGCCAGGCUGAGCCAAAGGCAAAUUAGAAUAUCUUUUGCCAUGGGAUAACUUAUGCUACCUUCUUGUGCACUGAGAUGAUUGCAAACUCCCGAGAGCAGAAAACCUUCACCUACAGCCAUCCAUUCUCUCCUGUUUAGAAGCAGCCUGGCGAUCUGUCUAGACUUAUUUGCUGCCAGAGACCAACACUUCAUUCCACCUCCUGCCGUACAGUUCCAGUCCUGCUGGAUUACUCUCCAACCCAUGCUCAUCUCAUCUGCUGACUCCUCCUGCCUCAGAGCCCAUCAGACCUCCAGCUUCAGACCUGUGUGCAUUCUUACAACAGGCGGACGCUGCUGAGUUGGCCUCCAGGCCCCUGGACACAUCCUGACCCCAGGACACUGCACUAACAGAACCUGUCUGCCAAAAGAAGAAACUUAGCUGUCUCCCAUUUCUGUCUGUGGUCUGUCUCCUUGAAGACCAUGAGGUACUUCACACAUUCCUCAGCUUUUGCCUGCUAUUUGUGAAUUAAUGGGGUGAAGCGAUUUCCCUGAACUUAUCAGAAAAUCUAUGUAAGACAGAGAAGAGGAAUGGGAUCUGGUCCAUCAGGUUUACAGGUGCUGACCGGAACAAACAAGUGGUCCAGACCCUGAAUGCUUUAAUAUCCAUCUCUUAAGAAAGAGAUCUUCUCCCCACUAUCCCAUGAAGGCAUUGAUCAUUGCUCAGAAAUUCAGCCUUUCAUCCUGAUCAGAGCCCUCUCCAGCAUCACCUUCACAGCGAAAAAGACACAAACCCAACGGCUCAACACUUGCAAGGCAGAGCAGUGCUGCAGCCCCGUGUGCCCUUCGACUCACUCCCUUUCCCUCGGCCAGGCCUCAAGCAGAGCAGUGAUUGAAGAGAGGUGGAGCCCCAUGACUGAUUCCCCUGAGAACAUAACUCUGGUUUCUCUGACACCCUGAACAAGAGCGAGAUGUCAGGAUCCUUCCUUAGGGCUGCUGCAUGAGAGGGAUGGACCGGUGACACUGAUGCUACAUCACCUCUUCUGAGCACAGGAGCUGAGUUCCACGUUUGGCAGCUCCAGGAUGAACCGGUGGCGUUUCCUUGACUCCAGUGGCGAUCGAUUCCAUUUGGAGCCUGUAGCAACUGACGUCCAGGGGAGCCCAAGUCCCACCCAUCACAUGGCAACAGGAAGCUUUGCGUGAUGCCUGGUGGCACAUCCCUCCAAAAGGAAGUGGGAAGAUUAAAGAAAGACGUUGAGGCCCUGGAAUCUGCCCAGAGAGGGGCAACGAAGCUGUGAACGGGCUGGAGCACAAGUCUUAUGGAGAGAGGCAGAGGGAACUGGUGUUCUUCAGUCUGGAGAAGAGGCUCAGGGGAGACCUCAUUGCUCUCUACAAUGCCCUGAAAGGAGGCUGUGGUGAGAGUGUUCAAUUCUUUCCCCGUCUCCCCCACCAGCCCCAGCCCACGAGCGAGCAGCUCCCGAAAAUGCUGAGGAAAUGGAGCUGAAAGCCUGGGGCAAUGGGGCAGAGAAGGUGAAUCUAAAGAGAUGCAGAAAUGAACCAGACAGGGCCGGGAAAUGUACGGAGAACCCACCCUAGCCUGUAUGUGAGGGAGUGCAUACCACAGCGUAUGAGAUCAACAGCCCCUUUCCGCAGUCUCAGUAGUGCUGAGUCCCAGAAGAGGGUUACAGAUUUACAAGGAAUUCAGAUUUUUACAUUCAGGAUGAAAUCAGCAAAUUUUAGAGCUUGCCGAGAUUGAAGCGACGGUGUUGAGCGAUGCAGCCCCGAGCACGCGGAGCCCAGCACCGCUUUGCUCCCAGUAAUGAGUCCCCCCGGGGGUCACAGCCCCCACUGCAUGGGGCUGCCCAAAGCCCUUUGCCCUGCGAUUCUUCCAGCAAAGACACUGUACAAUCACAGGCAGCUGCACUGAGGAAAAUGUAAAUGCAAUAGAAAACACAGACGUGGAGGAGCAUCUGUUCUCCCCUCCAGGUCAAGCAGUGGUCUUGAAAGAUGAACCGGCAUGGGGAGAGCUCAGAAGGAGCGAGGUGAGCACAUCUACCAGUGGAAUGUCUGCUCCUACAGUGGCACACCAGUCAGAGACACUGCAGCAGAGCUGCUGCUAAUGGGCCUCCUCUCUGGCAUAGGAGGAACAGGAUGAGCUGGGAACUGGAAGAAGAGGAAAGGGAGGUCAAUGAGGGACUUUCUUGUUCACAAUUCCACAAACAUGCCAUGGAUCCAUGAGGACAUGCAUAGGAGAGAGAGACACAGAGAGAGGACACAGUUAUUAUUUCAUUGCUGCAGUUCACUGGGAUUUUUUCUGAACACCAUUCCUAUGAACCUGGAUGGAGAAAGGCUGAAGGAGAAGAAAACCCGAAACACUUCAGCCUGCUUUUAUUUUCCGGUUAAAAAUGAAAGAAGUUAUGUAGAGCAGUUGAAGUAAACACCUGAAUCUUAAAAGACUGAAAAGGCGUUUGUAGCCGCUGACCAGAGCCGAAGAUAGAAGGAAUAAAACUGGCAAUUGAUACGUGCUGCAAAUCCUCAUGCCGAGUACAAACCUGACCUGUAUUUCAGCAGCUGCAGGCACCUUUCUGAUAUCUUCCCAGCAGUGCUGGGAGGUGCUCAGCCCAACAGCAAAGCCACGCACGCUGCAAGUCCCCAGCCUCCCUUUAGGGGACAGAGCUUCCCAAUGGCUGCUUUGAUUGUCUGUUUUCAAAAUACAAUCACAUGUGGAUAUUAAAAAUAGCACCACGCUGACUUGCUUCCUGUGAAAACAGGUUCCAGUGCUAGGAAACUAAACAUAAUUUUAAACGUUAUCAUCCGACUAAUCGUGUUGCUAUUCCAUUUCAGUCCAUAUAAUUUCUCCGGUAUGAACCUGGGUCACUUUUGCAUAUGUCCAAUCUAUUUUAUAUAUAUACGUUCACUCUAUUUGCACACUCAGAUGGGAGACAUAUGCCUCUUCUCAUUUGGGCAGGCCAUAGUGUUAUUAAAAUGGAAAUGUGCGGGCUUUGGGAUCCAACUGCAACAUAUGUUUAAAAAUGAAAGAUGAUUCUUUAGUUGUAACUACCAGAAGAACUCGGAGCUUUUGACUCCGUGUAUAAUUACCACGAGACCUUAACAGCUUAAUUCACCAGGUAAUUACAUGGUUAUUUUUUGUUCUAUAAAAGGUAAAGAGGUAACAUUUAAUUUACAAGGUGCUGCAUAAUCCUGUAAUUACUUGGUAAUUUCCGUGUCG
ensembl:lncRNA